AAAGUUUCCCACCCCAACACAGCAACACUAACAUUCUAACACUAAGCUUCUUCUUUGUUUUUUCUUUUUAUUUCUAAUUUCUUUUUAUCAUUUUUCCGGUUUUGUAUUACAAUUUGAUUAAUUAGAUACAUCUUUCAGGUGAAGUUGAAGAGUACAAUUUUUAUCUUUCACUACUACUCUUCUUCACUUAUUCAUAAGCAUUAUUGUGCUUCUUUCUCUUCCUCGCUCUACCAUAUAUUCUUCUUCUCUUUGCUUUGAUUUGGUGUCAUUCAUCAAUUCCAUAUUAUGAUGAAUUAAUAUAUAAGCCAACAAUCACCAUGAUUCUAAUGGCAAGAAUGAUGCGGUCACUAGUGAAGCUAGCAAGAUCACUAAUGUGUGAACCAACAUCAACACUCACAACCAUUCUCUAUUAUGGGAACCUACUUCCAAGAAACCUUAACAACAACUUGAACCGGUUGGUCCGACCGGAAUUCCUUCACCAAGAGAACCAUUUCUUCCAUUUUCUCAUCACUAUAUUGAGGUGUGUUUGGUAGUAGUUAUUACUAGUAGCUUGGUCAGAGUUAAAAUUAGGCCAUGUUAGGUUGGGGUUCAGGUGUUUCAUAAAGCAAGGAAAUUAAAGGAUACGGUCUCAUCAUAAGGUUAAGAACUUAAGAUUUUAUCCAACGUGCAAAAAACGAAUUUAAUUAUUUGAGGAAACCAAUUAGUAAUGCAUUUACUUUUUGAGGCACUCCAUGUGGUAGCACAGUGUCUUAGUAAGAAUUUUGGGAGCAACAAAAUCAUGCAUCAUAUGUACUCAUCAAAUCAAUAGAUUAAUGUGCACUUAAUUCAACUAGAAAA